GGCACCAUGGCCUAAUGGUAAGGCGGUAAGUCGUAACCCACAUAUUUUCCACUAUGAUUAGUUUAAAACUAAUCACGUGAUUUAGCUACUUUCCGGCUUUGGAGCAUGGUAGAGAUUGAGGGUUCGAGUCCCUCUGGUGUCG